GCAGGAUGGGACCCUGGGGGGGGACACACGGAGCUGAGGACAUGUAUGGACAGAGCCACACACAGGCAGGUGGCACACAUGGCCAGACACAGGUGUGGCUGUUUGGGGACACACAUGGCCAGGGGUCACAAACAGCCACAGUCAUGCACAACAAGCUGACACAACCCUCCUGGGGACACAUGGAUCUGUCCCUUGGGGUAGCAUCUGUGACACAAGGACAUACUGGGCACCAGUUUGCGAUGGGCAGCUCCCAGUCUGGGAUGAAGGACAGAGGGCUCUGGGGGGGAUCCAGCAGGGGGUGGCCCCUGGGACCCCCCUGUCCUUGUGUCCCCCACAGGCAGAGCUUUGUGAGAUGGCACAGAGCUGCUGGGGGCUGCCCCCCCGCACCCGGGCACGAAGGGGUUACGGGGCCACACCAGCUGUGCCGUGCAGAUGCGAGAUAUGCAGAUGAGGCCAUGCAGGUUUUAUAAAGUGGGUGCAGCAGCAGCACCCCACAAAGCAGCGGGGUCACCCCAAGAGGUGCUGCUCACCUCGCUGCCCGCCGCCCUGGGCUGGAUAUCAUCAUAUACUGUAAGUUCACUAUGAGACACUACAGUAUAGAUGAUGUACUCCCCUGGGCUGCACCUGACCCCGGGAGCUGCUCCGUGGGACCGCAGUGUGGGGCACAGGGGGGUUACGGGGCACACAGCGGAGUGCAUGCAGCCAAGGAUCCAUGGCUGGCAGGGAAACCGUUACCAUUACUGAGUUUAGUAAUGGUAACGGUUCUGCUGACGGCCAGGCAUGCAGCGUGGCACAGAUCGGCGUGGGUUGGUGUGGAUCACUGUGGGUUGGUGUGGAUCACCAUGGGUUGGUGUGGGUUGGCAUGGGCUGGUGUGGGUCCGUGUGAGUUGGUGGUGCGAAGUCAAUAAAGUUGGUGAUAGCA